AACGAACGCUGGCGGCAUGCCUAACACAUGCAAGUCGAACGAUGCCUUCGGGCAUAGUGGCGCACGGGUGCGUAACACGUGGGAAUCUGCCCUUCGGUUCGGAAUAACACAGAGAAAUUUGUGCUAAUACCGGAUAAUGACGUAAGUCCAAAGAUUUAUCGCCGAAUGAUGAGCCCGCGUAGGAUUAGCUUGUUGGUGGGGUAAUGGCCCACCAAGGCGACGAUCCUUAGCUGGUCUGAGAGGAUGAUCAGCCACACUGGGACUGAGACACGGCCCAGACUCCUACGGGAGGCAGCAGUGGGGAAUAUUGGACAAUGGGCGAAGGCCUGAUCCAGCAAUGCCGCGUGAGUGAUGAAGGCCUUAGGGUUGUAAAGCUCUUUUACCAGGGAUGAUAAUGACAGUACCUGGAGAAUAAGCUCCGGCUAACUCCGUGCCAGCCGCCGCCGUAA
rnacentral:rRNA from 1 species